CUACGUGCCAGCAGCCGCGGUAAUACGUAGGUCCCGAGCGUUGUCCGGAUUUAUUGGGCGUAAAGCGAGCGCAGGCGGUUAGAUAAGUCUGAAGUUAAAGGCUGUGGCUUAACCAUAGUACGCUUUGGAAACUGUUUAACUUGAGUGCAAGAGGGGAGAGUGGAAUUCCAUGUGUAGCGGUGAAAUGCGUAGAUAUAUGGAGGAACACCAGUGGCGAAGGCGGCUUGCUAGCCAAAGACUGACGCUCAUGCACGAAAGCGUGGGGAGCAAAUAGGAUUAGAUACCCUAGUAGUCCACGCCGUAAACGAUGAAUACUAAGUAUUGGGGAAACUCAGUGCUGCAGCUAACGCAAUAAGUAUUCCGCCUGUGGAGUAUGCACGCAAGUGUGAAACAUAAAGGAAUUGACGGGGGCCCGCACAAGCGGUGGAGCAUGUGGUUUAAUUCGAUGCAACGCGAAGAACCUUACCUACUCUUGACAUCCAGAGAACAUUC
rnacentral:rRNA from 1 species